ACUGUCCUCUUAGGUAACUGUGUUUGCUCUUCCACCAUAAAGCCAUCGACUUUGGGAUGUUCGCGACAAUGUCCUUCCAGAGAGUUCGGCAGUUGAGGGUUUUGAAGUUCCUUUGGUUGGAUAGUUGGAUUCAAAGGAACGUCUCCAUUGUCACAACUCUGCACCAAAGCAAACAAUGUCAAGAAGCCUGUCAGAUAUACAAGAAUAAAGAAGGCAAAACCAAAAACUAUAAUCGAUAUUGCCAAAUUACUGCAGCAAAAGGCCAAGGAGACCAAAGAGAAGAAACAAUCAGUGAUCACUGCUUCUGCAUUGAAAGCUGCUACUAGUUCAACCAAACCGACUACACCAGAUAAAUUGAAUGACCGGAGUGAUGCCAAAGAAAUUAUUAUUUCCAAUGCAAAAAUUCAAACUUCUGCCAGCACCCUUCCAGCAAAAGAUGCUGUGGAUAGUUAUUCAGCACCUGACACUGCCAUAGUCGAUUCUUCUGUGAAUUUUGCAUAUUCAAAAGAUGUUGACCAAAUGGCCACGGAAGGUCUGCAUAAUAAGACAUACACUGAAAUUAUGAAUGCAAAAGAUGCAGCACCCCAAGCUGUUGAGUCAGCUGUAGAAUCGCCCAUAAUUAAUGCUCCACAAGAGGCUUCAACUCAAGGAGAGAUGACAACAAAUAUCAGUCAAGUUUCUGAGCUGUCUUCAGCAAACCUCU
rnacentral:lncRNA from 1 species